UUAGAUUAUGGUGUGUGUGUUUGUGUGUGUGAUUGUUAUGGUUGAGUUUGGGUGUGUAGUGUUUAGAUGAUGGUGUGUGUGUGUGUGUGUGUGUGAUUGUUAUGGUUGAGUUUGGGUGUGUAGUGUUUAGAUGAUGGUGUGUGUGUGAUUGUUAUGGUUGAGUUUGGGUGUGUAGUGUUUAGAUGAUGGUGUGUGUGUGUGUGUGUGUGAUUGUUAUGGUUGAGUCUGGGUGUGCAGUGUUUAGAUUAUGGUGUGUGUGUGUGAUUGUUAUGGUUGAGUUUGGGUGUGUAGUGUUUAGAUGAUGGUGUGUGUGUGUGUGUGUGUGAUUGUUAUGGUUGAGUUUGGGUGUGUAGUGUUUAGAUUAUGGUGUGUGUGUGAUUGUUAUGGUUGAGUCUGGGUGUGCAGUGUUUAGAUUAUGGUGUGUGUGUGUGAUUGUUAUGGUUGAGUUUGGGUGUGUAGUGUUUAGAUGAUGGUGUGUGUGUGUGUGAUUGUUAUGGUUGAGUCUGGGUGUGCAGUGUUUAGAUUAUGGUGUGUGUGUGUGAUUGUUAUGGUUGAGUUUGGGUGUGUAGUGUUUAGAUGAUGGUGUGUGUGUGUGAUUGUUAUGGUUGAGUUUGGGUGUGUAGUGUUUAGAUGAUGGUGUGUGUGUGUGAUUGUUUUGUUUGGGUGUGUAGUGUUUAGAUGAUGGUGUGUGUGUGAUUGUUUUGGUUGAGUUUGGGUGUGUAGUGUUUAGAUGAUGGUGUGUGUGUGUGUGAUUGUUAUGGUUGAGUUUGGGUGUGUAGUGUUUAGAUGAUGGUGUGUGUGUGUGAUUGUUAUGGUUGAGUUUGGGUGUGUAGUGUUUAGAUGAUGGUGUGUGUGUGAUUGUUAUGGUUGAGUUUGGGUGUGUAGUGUUUAGAUGAUGGUGUGUGUGUGUGUGAUUGUUUUGGUUGAGUUUGGGUGUGUAGUGUUUAGAUGAUGGUGUGUGUGUGUGUGAUUGUUAUGGUUGAGUUUGGGUGUGUAGUGUUUAGAUGAUGGUGUGUGUGUGUGUGAUUGUUAUGGUUGAGUUUGGGUGUGUAGUGUUUAGAUGAUGGUGUGUGUGUGAUUGUUAUGGCUGAGUUUGGGUGUGUAGUGUUUAGAUGAUUGUGUGUGUGUGAUUGUUAUGGUUGAGUUUGGGUGUGUAGUGUUUAGAUUAUGGUGUGUGUGUGAUUGUUAUGUUUGAGUUUGGGUGUGUAGUGUUUAGAUUAUGGUGUGUGUGUGUGUGAUUGUUAUGGUUGAGUUUGGGUGUGUAGUGUUUAGAUGAUGGUGUGUGUGUGAUUGUUAUGGUUGAGUUUGGGUGUGUAGUGUUUAGAUUAUGAUGUGUGUGUGUGUGUGUGUGAUUGUUAUGGUUGAGUUUGGGUGUGUAGUGUUUAGGUGAUGGUGUGUGUGUGUGUGAUGUAAGUGCUGAGGGAUGCUGCUCUGUCCGCAG